rnacentral:tRNA from 1 species
GGGUAUGGUUCAAUGGUAGAAUAUUGGUCUCCAAAACCACAGAUGAGGGUCCGAUUCCUUCUACCC